CCUCGGAUCAGGUAGGAAUACCCGCUGAACUUAAGCAUAUCAAUAAGCGGAGGAAAAGAAACCAACAGGGAUUCCCCUAGUAACGGCGAGUGAAGCGGGAACAGCUCAAAUUUGAAAGCUGACUUUCGGGUCCGCAUUGUAAUUUGUAGAGGAUGCUUUUGGUUAGGUUCCUUCCAAGUGCCCUGGAACGGGUCGCCUUAGAGGGUGAGAGCCCCGUACGGUUGGAAACCGAGCCUCUGUAAAGCUCCUUCGACGAGUCGAGUAGUUUGGGAAUGCUGCUCAAAAUGGGAGGUAAAUUUCUUCUAAAGCUAAAUACCGGCCAGAGACCGAUAGCGCACAAGUAGAGUGAUCGAAAGAUGAAAAGUACUUUGAAAAGAGGGUUAAACAGCACGUGAAAUUGUUAAAGGGGAAGCGUUUACGACCAGACCUUUUCUAGGCGGAUCAUCCGGUGUUCUCACCGGUGCACUUCGCCUAGUUUAGGCCAGCAUCGGUUUUCGCUGGGGGAUAAAAGCUUCAGGAACGUGGCUCCUCCGGGAGUGUUAUAGCCUGUUGUAUAAUACCCUAGCGGGGACCGAGGACCGCGCUUCGGCAAGGAUGCUGGCAU
rnacentral:rRNA from 1 species